UAUCUACCCCAAUCAAAUCCAAAACGGCUGGCAUCCAUUUUCUCCCGUUUAGUCAAAUCGAAAUCCCACCUUCUGACGAUAGUCAUUCCCAAGAGAUAAAAUUAAAUUUGCUACCUGCUUUUGAAAGUAUUUCCUUCAUUCUUUCCUUCAAUCCGGGUUUCUUGGUCCUCUCCUCUCCCAGGCAAGAACAUGCCGAUUCAAAUCUGCUCACAUCAGAUUUGAUUACCAGAUAACACACACCACUCUUCCCAUACUUUUGAACAAGAGAACUUGACGCGUUGAAAUCAAUUGAAACACAGACGAAUAGAAAAACAAGACAAAAAUUUCAUGCCAACGGCGGCAGACCAAAGCAUGCUAGGCUGAAAGAGAAGGCUUCAAGGGUGUCGCGUUCAUGGCACUAAACUUUAAAUGACAGAGUAGAUUUCUAAUUCGAGCAAAUAAAAAAGGAAAUGGCGAAUAUCGACAUUGAUGGGAUCUUGAAGGAGCUUCCAAAUGAUGGUCGUAUCGCCAAAACGAAAAUUGUUUGCACUCUGGGUUCGGCAUCGCGAUCGGUACCCAUGAUCGAGAAGUUACUGAAGGCCGGCAUGAACAUUGCUCGCUUCAAUAUCUCCCAUGGCAGCCAUGAAUAUCACCAGGAGACCUUGAACAAUCUCGAAAAUUUUUAUUAUUUUAUUUAUUUUUAGUAUUAAAGGGGAAUAAAAGAAAAUAAUAAACAAAGGGGUUAUAAAGCCAUUUACCCAUUUAAAGUUUGGUGUAAGGUGGGACCUUAAAGCUCUUUUUUUAGUUGCCAACCAAAACGAGAAAUUUACAUAUAAGAUGUAUGAAUAUUUUAGGUCAUCACAUUUCAGCCUGGUGCUGUCAAUUUGUCAGGCGGCACCGUCAAAACACUGAAGCAAAUGCCUAUUUUCAUAAUUAAUUUGUUUUCUAUA